AAACGUAGGGGGCGAGCGUUGUCCGGAAUUACUGGGCGUAAAGGGCGCGUAGGUGGUCCAUUAAGUUAGAGGUGAAAGUGCGGGGCUUAACCCCGUGAUUGCCUCUGAUACUGGUGGACUUGAGUGCAGGAGAGGGGAGCGGAAUUCCCAGUGUAGCGGUGAAAUGCGUAGAUAUUGGGAGGAACACCAGUGGCGAAGGCGGCUCUCUGGACUGCAACUGACACUGAGGCGCGAAAGCGUGGGGAGCAAACAGGAUUAGAUACCCUGGUAGUCCACGCCGUAAACGAUGAGUGCUAGGUGUUGCGGGUAUCGACCCCUGCAGUGCCGCAGUAAACACAAUAAGCACUCCGCCUGGGGAGUACGGUCGCAAGACUGAA
rnacentral:rRNA from 1 species